rnacentral:tRNA from 1 species
GGGGGGAUGCCGGAGCGGCCGAACGGGGCGGUCUUGAAAACCGCUAGCCGCGAUGAGCGGCUCGAGGGUUCGAAUCCCUCUCCCCCCG